rnacentral:rRNA from 1 species
GACGAAGGGGGCUAGCGUUGUUCGGAAUUACUGGGCGUAAAGCGCGUGUAGGCGGUUGUUCAAGUCAGGUGUGAAAGCCUUGAGCUCAACUCAAGAAAUGCACUUGAUACUGGAUGACUAGAGGACCGGAGAGGAUGAGUGGAAUUCCCAGUGUAGUGGUGAAAUACGUAGAGAUUGGGAAGAACACCAGUGGCGAAGGCGGCUAUCUGGACGGUUUCUGACACUAAGACUCGAAAGCGUGGGGAGCAACAGG